CCUACGGGAGGCAGCAGUGAGGAAUAUUGGUCAAUGGACGCAAGUCUGAACCAGCCAUGCCGCGUGCAGGAAGACGGCCCUACGAGUUGUAAACUGCUUUUGUACAGGAGUAAACUCAGAUACGCGUAUCUUUCUGAAAGUAUUUUACGAAUAAGGAUCGGCUAACUCCGUGCCAGCAGCCGCGGUAAUACGGAGGAUUCAAGCGUUAUCCGGAUUUAUUGGGUUUAAAGGGUGCGUAGGCGGGCGGUUAAGUUAGAUGUGAAAUCUGGAGGCUCAACCGUGGAAUUGCCACUGAUACUGGUCGGCUAGAGAAUAGUUGAGGUAGGCGGAAUGUAUGGUGUAGCGGUGAAAUGCUUAGAGAUCAUACAGAACACCGAUUGCGAAGGCAGCUUACCAAGCUACCUCUGACGUUGAGGCACGAAAGCGUGGGGAGCAAACAGGAUUAGAUACCCCUGUAGUC
rnacentral:rRNA from 1 species